rnacentral:rRNA from 1 species
AAACGCUUGAAGUCAGUCGCGUUAGUCAGGGAUCAACCUUGCUUCUGCUUGGUGUACUUCCUGGUUGACGGGUCAACAUCAGUUUUGACCGCUGGAUAAAGGUUGAAGGAAUGUGGCACCUUCGGGUGUGUUAUAGCCUUCAAUUGUAUACAGUGGUUGGGACUGAGGAACUCAGCACGCCGCAAGGAGGGUUUCGACCAACUUACGUGCUUAGGAUGUUGACAUAAUGGCUUUAAUCGA